rnacentral:sRNA from 1 species
UUUUAUUCCAUUAAAGGGUAGCUUAAGGUAAAGAAUUAGGGUUCCUUGCAAACAAUUUCAAAGAAUGCUAUUCUAAAUAUGAAUUAUUUUUGUUCGGUGUAAAGGAUAGCAUUAGUAAAACUUUUCGUCUUGAUGAUCACUGAGAGCAAGGAUAGUAAUACAUUGUGUGUGCUAACACACUAGGAGGCAACAAACAUGGAAAAAGGUAAAGUAAAAUGGUUUAAUGGCGAAAAAGGCUUCGGAUUCAUCGAACGUGAAGGUGGAGAAGACGUAUUCGUUCAUUUCUCAGCUAUCCAAGGCGAAGGGUACAAAUCAUUAGAAGAAGGUCAAGAAGUGACUUUUGAUGUUGAGCAAGGUCAACGUGGAGCACAAGCAGCUAACGUUCGUAAGGCUUAAUUAUUAUGCCAAACAUGGACAGACUCUUUUUUAGAGUCUGUUUU